rnacentral:tRNA from 1 species
CGGGCAGUAGCGCAGCCCGGUAGCGUGCGUCGUUCGGGACGACGAGGUCGCAGGUUCGAAUCCUGUCUGCCCGACCC